rnacentral:rRNA from 1 species
AUUGAACGCUGGCGGCAGGCUUAACACAUGCCAGUCGAACGAGUGGCGGACGGGUGAGUAAUGUUUGGGAAUCUACCUUAUGGAGGGGGAUAACUACGGGAAACUGUAGCUAAUACCGCAUACCAUAGGAUGAGCCCAAGUGGGAUUAGGUAGUUGGUGAGGUAAAGGCUCACCGAGCAGACGAUCCCUUGCUGUUCUGAGAGGAUGACCAGCCACACGGGUACGGAGACACGGCCCAGACUCCUACGGGAGGCAGCAGUGGGGAAUAUUGCACAAUGGGGGCAACCUGACGCAGCCAUGCCGCGUGAAUGAAGAAGGCCUUCGGGUUGUAAAGUUCUUUCGGUAGCGAGGCGUUAACUACAGAAGAAGCACCGGCUAACUCCGUGCCAGCAGCCGCGGUAAUUC